rnacentral:rRNA from 1 species
GAUGAACGCUGGCGGCGUGCCUAAUACAUGCAGUCGAGCGAACGGACGAGAAGCUUGCUUCUCUGAUGUUAGCGGCGGACGGGUGAGUAACACGUGGAUAACCUACCUAUAAGACUGGGAUAACUUCGGGAAACCGGAGCUAAUACCGGAUAAUAUUUUGAACCGCAUGGUUCAAAAGUGAAAGACGGUCUUGCUGUCACUUAUAGAUGGAUCCGCGCUGCAUUAGCUAGUUGGUAAGGUAACGGCUUACCAAGGCAACGAUGCAUAGCCGACCUGAGAGGGUGAUCGGCCACACUGGAACUGAGACACGGUCCAGACUCCUACGGGAGGCAGCAGUAGGGAAUCUUCCGCAAUGGGCGAAAGCCUGACGGAGCAACGCCGCGUGAGUGAUGAAGGUCUUCGGAUCGUAAAACUCUGUUAUUAGGGAAGAACAUAUGUGUAAGUAACUGUGCACAUCUUGACGGUACCUAAUCAGAAAGCCACGGCUAACUACGUG